rnacentral:rRNA from 1 species
CGUGGGUAACCUGCCCAAGAGACUGGGAUAACACCUGGAAACAGAUGCUAAUACCGGAUAACAACACUAGACGCAUGUCUAGAGUUUAAAAGAUGGUUCUGCUAUCACUCUUGGAUGGACCUGCGGUGCAUUAGCUAGUUGGUAAGGUAACGGCUUACCAAGGCAAUGAUGCAUAGCCGAGUUGAGAGACUGAUCGGCCACAUUGGGACUGAGACACGGUCCAAACUCCUACGGGAGGCAGCAGAC